GACGAACGCUGGCGGCGUGCUUAACACAUGCAAGUCGAACGAGAAGAGAUGAGAAGCUUGCUUCUUAUUGAUUCGAGUGGCAAACGGGUGAGUAACGCGUAAGCAACCUGCCCUUCAGAUGGGGACAACAGCUGGAAACGGCUGCUAAUACCGAAUACGUUCUCUUUAUCGCAUGGCAGAGGGAAGAAAGGGAGGCUCUUCGGAGCUUUCGCUGAAGGAGGGGCUUGCGUCUGAUUAGCUAGUUGGAGGGGUAACGGCCCGACCAAGGCGACGAUCAGUAGCCGGUCUGAGAGGAUGAACGGCACAUUGGGACUGAGACACGGCCCAGACUCCUACGGAGGCAGCAGUGGGAAUCUUCCGCAAUGGACGAAAGUCUGACGGAGCAA
rnacentral:rRNA from 1 species